rnacentral:tRNA from 1 species
GUGGUCGUGGCCGAGCCUCGGCGGCCGGGCGUCGGUGGCGCCCGAGACCAGCUCGGCGAGGUCGAACACCUCACGGUCGCC